rnacentral:rRNA from 1 species
GACGAACGCUGGCGGCGUGCUUAACACAUGCAAGUCGAACGGAAAGGCCCUGCUUUUGUGGGGUGCUCGAGUGGCGAACGGGUGAGUAACACGUGAGUAACCUGCCCUUGACUUUGGGAUAACUUCAGGAAACUGGGGCUAAUACCGGAUAGGAGCUCCUGCUGCAUGGUGGGGGUUGGAAAGUUUCGGCGGUUGGGGAUGGACUCGCGGCUUAUCAGCUUGUUGGUGGGGUAGUGGCUUACCAAGGCUUUGACGGGUAGCCGGCCUGAGAGGGUGACCGGCCACAUUGGGACUGAGAGACGGCCCAGACUCCUACGGGGGGCAGCAGUGGGGAAUAUUGCACAAUGGGCGGAAGCCUGAGGCAGCAACGCCGCGUGCGGGAUGACGGCCUUCGGGUUGUAAACCGCUUUCGCCUGUGACGAAGCGUGAGUGACGGUAAUGGGUAAAGAAGCACCGGCUAACUACGUG